UACGGGGGGGGCAAGCGUUGUUCGGAAUUACUGGGCGUAAAGGGUUCGUAGGUGGCCAACUAAGUCAUACGUGAAAUCCCUCAGCUUAACUGGGGAACUGCGUCUGAUACUGGUUGGCUUGAGUGCAGGAGAGGAACGCGGAAUUCCAGGUGUAGCGGUGAAAUGCGUAGAUAUCUGGAGGAACACCGGUGGCGAAGGCGGCGUUCUGGACUGCAACUGACACUGAGGAACGAAAGCGUGGGGAGCGAUCCGG
rnacentral:rRNA from 1 species